rnacentral:rRNA from 1 species
UACGGGGGGAGUAAGCGUUGUUCGGAUUUACUGGGCGUAAAGGGCGCGUAGGCGGUCAGCACAAGUCAGUUGUGAAAUCUCCGGGCUUAACUCGGAAAGGUCAACUGAUACUGUGCGACUAGAGUGCGGAAGGGGCAACUGGAAUUCUCGGUGUAGCGGUGAAAUGCGUAGAUAUCGAGAGGAACACCUGCGGCGAAGGCGGGUUGCUGGGCCGACACUGACGCUGAUGCGCGAAAGCGUGGGGAGCAAACAGG